CCGAUAAAGGCUUUAGCUUCCGUCAGCUUCGCCACUAGUCUAUGUCUUAUCAAUCAACCAUGAAGUCACUAAUUCUGCUAGUGAUCAGCGCGAAAGUUACGGAAAUAAUUGCAACAAGCUGUCUCUCCUGCAAUUCCACAGCAGAUUCGGCUUGUUCAACGGGAAACUACAACGCUAAGAGUAAGGACUGCUACGGUGUCAAUCCGUGCGCAGUGGCAAUCAUUGCGGCAAGUGGUCACACAUUCCGGGGAUGUUCGGAUGAUGCGGAAUGCUACGAAAAUGCACCAAUUUGUGCCACUUGCGAUGGUGAUGGUUGCAACGGUGCAGCGUAUCCGGAGAAUCGUAUGUCCUGUGUGCAGUGUUCAACUGCUAGUGCGCUGGAGUGUCAGCAUGUGGAGACGGAUGGUCAGCAGUUGUACGGGGCAUCAUGCGUAGUCCACCAGCAGGAUGGGGUUGCGUUACGGUGUUUAACGGGUACUUGCCGUCACAGAGAGGUUGUUUGGCUGAUCUUGAUUUGGGAGUUAAAGAUAUGUGUGCGCAGCACUCGGUAGAGUGUGUGACUUGCAGUGGGGAAAAUAACUGUUAUGUAGUGAAUGUACGUCCGGAUGAGCAGUGCUUGCAAUGUGAUUCGCAAGAUCGUGGCUGUAACGAUGGAAGUCAUGCAGCCUCUGGCUGCUCUGCGGUGUCUGAUGGGAAGUGCUAUUCGAAAUUGCUCGCAGAUGGAACAGUGAAACGUGGAUGUAUUCAAGAAUUGACCGCUGAAGAGAGUGCGAGUUGCAACUCGGAUAGCUGCGACGUUUGUACUGGCGUUGGUUGCAAUACUAUCGUAUUCGUAGAACGAA